rfam:TPA: Bos taurus chromosome 1, whole genome shotgun sequence.
UCCCUUGUAGCUCAGUUGGUAAAGAAUCUGCCUGCAGUGCAGGAAACCCAGGUUCGAUCCCUGGGUUGGGAA